ACCUGCCGAGCAAUCGGCGGGGAGUGGCGGAAGGGUGAGUACCACGUAGGAGAUCUACCUCACCGCAGGGGCCAACCUGGCGAAAGCGAGGCUAAUACCCAAAAGGCUCGCGCGUUCGGUCGCGCGAGGAGAGUACGUCGCAAGACGUGCGUGGUGAGCGGGUCCUGCGCCCCAUCAGCUAGUUGGUAGGGUAGCGGCCUACCAAGGCAACGACGGGUAGGGGGUCUGAGAGGACGAUCCCCCACACUGGAACUGAAACACGGUCCAGACGCCUACGGGUGGCAGCAGGGAGGAAUAUUGCACAAUGGGCGACAGCCCGAUGCAGCAACGCCGCGUGGAGGAUGAAGGCCUUCGGGUCGUAAACUCCUUUGGAGGGAGACGAGCAAGGACGGUAUCCCUCGAACAAGCCACGGCUAACUACGUGCCAGCAGCCGCGGUAAAACGUAGGUGGCGAGCGUUAUCCGGAUUCAUUGGGCGUAAAGAGCUUGUAGGUGGCGGCGUAAGUUGGACGUGAAAUCGCCCGGCUCAACCGGGCGGGGUCGUUCAAUACUGCGCGGCUAGAGGAGGUCAGAGGGAAGUGGAAUUCCUGGUGUAGCAGUGAAAUGCGUAGAUAUCAGGAGGAACACCCGUGGCGAAGGCGGCUUCCUGGGGCCAUCCUGACACUGAGAAGCGAAAGCUAGGGGAGCGAACGGGAUUAGAAACCCCGGUAGUCCUAGCCGUAAACGAUGGACGCUAGGUGUGCGCAGAUCUAACCCUGCGCGUGCCGAAGCUAACGCGUUAAGCGUCCCGCCUGGGAACUA
rnacentral:rRNA from 1 species